CAUUCCACCACUUAGGACCUGACAACUGUGUGGCCCACAAAAUCUUACUGAUUUCAGGUAGAAGUAGUAACUGAAGAUGUCAAGCAAAACAGCAACCACCAACAACAUUGCCCAGGCAAGGAGAACUGUGCAACAGUUAAGACUAGAAGCCUCUAUUGAAAGAAUAAAGGUUUCAAAGGCAUCAGCAGACCUCAUGUCCUACUGCGAAGAGCAUGCCAGGAGCGACCCUCUGCUGAUAGGGAUACCAACUUCAGAAAACCCUUUCAAGGAUAAAAAAACUUGCAUCAUUUUAUAGAGGAAAGUGAAAACAUUGCCUUGCCU